rnacentral:rRNA from 1 species
GACGAACGCUGGCGGCGUGCUUAACACAUGCCAGUCGAACGGAAAGGCCCUGCUUUUGUGGGGUGCUCGAGUGGCGAACGGGUGAGUAACACGUGAGUAACCUGCCCUUGACUUUGGGAUAACUUCAGGAAAAUGGGGCUAAUACCGGAUAGGAGCUCCUGCUGCAUGGUGGGGGUUGGAAAGUUUCGGCGGUUGGGGAUGGACUCGCGGCUUAUCAGAUUGUUGGUGGGGUAGUGGCUUACCAAGGCUUUGACGGGUAGUCGGCCUGAGAGGGUGACCGGCAAACUUGGGACUGAGAUACGGCCCGGACUCCUACGGGAGGCAGGGGUGGGGAAUAUUGCACAAUGGGGGGAAGCCGGAUGCAGCAAGGCCGCGUGCGGGAUGACGGCCUUCGGGGUGUAAACCGCUUUCGCCUUUGACGAAGCGUGAGUGACGGUAAUGGGUAAAGAAGCACCGGCUAACUACGUG